CAGGACGAACGCUGGCGGCGUGCCUAAUACAUGCAAGUCGAGCGAGUUUGACUAGAAGAAUGAGAUGCUUGCAUCACAUGAAACUAGAAACAAACUAGCGGCGGACGGGUGAGUAACACGUGGGUAACCUGCCCAAGAGACUGGGAUAACACCUGGAAACAGAUGCUAAUACCGGAUAAGAACUUAAGUCGCAUGACUAGAGUAUAAAAGAUGGCUCAGCUAUCACUCUUGGAUGGACCUGCGGUGCAUUAGCUAGUUGGUAAGGUAAAGGCUUACCAAGGCAAUGAUGCAUAGCCGAGUUGAGAGACUGAUCGGCCACAUUGGGACUGAGACACGGCCCAAACUCCUACGGGAGGCAGCAGUAGGGAAUCUUCCACAAUGGACGCAAGUCUGAUGGAGCAACGCCGCGUGAGUGAAGAAGGGUUUCGGCUCGUAAAGCUCUGUUGUUGGUGAAGAAGGAUAAGGAGAGUAACUGAUCUUUAUUUGACGGUAAUCAACUAGAAAGUCACGGCUAACUACGUGCCAGC
rnacentral:rRNA from 1 species